ensembl:lncRNA
CUUCUUUGGAGGGAGAGACUUUUUUUUAACUAAAAGAAGAGGAGAGAAGAGAGUUUCCUGAAAGGAAUUUAUCUGGAAAUUAAGGUGAUACAAAAUAUAUCCAUUUUUAAAUUUUUUUGUAAUUAAUUUUAGUCCCUGGAGUUUCUUGGGAUUUACCCUCAAUAUCAACAAUGAAAGUUAAUUAUGGCUCCCUACUCCCUGCCUGCUCCUUCCUAAACAUUUCACAACCCAUCCUGGCUCCAGAAAAGCCAACCUCAGAUAUGCUGAUACCCAAAGGGCUCAAGUCAGCAGGAAUUCUGGGCUGUGGAGUUAUGGUCAGACCAUAUGCAAAUUUAUAAAUAGAGUCCAGGACACAUGAUUCAGGAUUGGACCAUCGAGAGUUCACAAUGUAAGGUGUAGGAUUCCAAACACACGAAUAAUAGGCUUGGUAUUAGACUCCACUUGUAAUAGGGAUGGGGCUGUAAGUGCCACAUGGCUUUUACUAACCCAGCUAGAGCUCUGCAGGUGUAAGGUGCAAGUUGUGAGGAUAUAUAACUGUCAGAUAUUCUCAAGGACAGACACAUCUAACUACCAUCCUUUAACCUGCUACUAGCAUUUUUCCUUAUUCAUUUUCUUAUUGGAUUCAAAGAACAUAAAGGUUAUGUUCUUCUAUUUCCCCAUAAAUUGCUAUAAAUUAAAAACCUCUCAACCAACUAAUUAGUUCCAAGCUGCAACGCCAGCUUAUAAAAACAGGAGAAUUUUGUUUGCUAUAAUAAAAACUUUCUCUCCUUUCUGCCUCACACUACAAACUUAAGAGUCUUAGACCAACAUCCGUGUUCCUAGUCAUAUAAUUUAUUAACAGUAACCAAUAAUUAAGAACUAUAGAUAAAUAUUUCAGCAAUGAAUGUAUCAGCUAUGAGAAAGGUGACAAAACAGAGUUACUUCUGCUGACUCCCCAAAACCUCUGGAACCACAAACUAACAAUUACAUUCUCUUAGAAUGGCAGUUAAAGUCUCUCGGGAAUUUUCCCCGGGAUGUUUUCUCCACAGAAUAAGAAUUAAACUCAAUUCUCUCAAAAUGUCUCUUCAGACUUUCUCAAAACUGACGAUUUACUCUCCAAGUUACUUAGAGACUUUCUCAAUGACAGUUAACUCUGAGGUCUCCUUUUAAAAGUUCUCAAUUCUCUCAUAGUGCCUCACAGACUCUUUUAACUUUGUUUUUUUGUUUCUUGAUGUCUCAUGAAGUCAUAACUUCCAUUCACCCAAUUUUAAUGUUUAAGGAGUUAUUUUCUUCAGUGAAUAAGAAUAAUUGCCUUCUUAAGAUGUUAUUUACUUUAGUAUUUUUGGUGCCUCUUUUAGCAAGCUGCUAAUUCUCUUUUCAUAAUUUUCUUGCCUCAUUCUCAUUUCUUUUCACAAUUUUCCCUCUAUCACUCCCCUCUUUAACUCUUCCAGGAAUUCUCAUUGGGCCUGGAUCCAAGCUUUUUUCACAGUGUCUUCUUCCAAGUUGUAUCUUGGUCUUCCUUGCAAUUAUAGCAGAUUUUUAUGAUUAAGUUCUAUUUUUUUUUUUUUUUGGCUACUUACUCAUUUAUCCAGUCUAUUUCUUGACUUUGAACUUUAUAUUAAAGUUGAACUCUGCUCACCUGGAGGUAUGACCCAGACUUGAGGCUUUUUGGGGCUAUUUUCAGAGCUAAUUCUAUAGGUCUGCUUUAACCCAGGAAGACCCCUGUUCCUCAAUAGCGAAAAAUGCCAGGCUCUUCUUGACCCUGGCAUGUGACCAGAUCCCCCGUUUCCCCGUGAGGAGCCACAAACGCUCCUUUGCACCCAGAGACUGUAAAGCUGCACUGCUUAUGGACAAUAGUGUUGCCAGACAAAGCCAGGUAAGUCCUGUCAUCUCUUUCUGACCAGCUGUCUGACCUCUUCACUCUCUCUGGUUGGAGAACUCUUGAGGUGCUCCUAUGACCGCUAUUGCUGCUGCUGCCAUAUUUGUGGACUCUGAACAGACCUUGACCCCAGUGUCAUAAACUUCUGCAGACCUCCUAUGUUUCUGUAGGCUGGAAAAAUGUCUCAUGCUGAUCUUUAGUUGGCUCUGCCACUCCAAAAUUUGACUUGAGGCGUUAUUUUAAAGCUGUUUGGAGACAAAUGUUGGGAGAAAUCAGCUGAGUUGCUCCCUCUAAUCUGCCAUCUUCCUUCACAGACUUUCUGAAAGACAGUUAACUAUCAUUCCCCCAAAUUCUAUCCCUCUCUCUUAAAGGUAUAGUAACAGGAACCAAAGUCUCUGUUGGGAGGGAGUUGGCAUUCAAACAUAAUGUCUUCUGUGAAUUUUGUUGGAGCACGUGAACUAUAUAACAAGCCCUUUCUUGGAGAACUUUGUCUUUAACUUUCCCAGAGUUUGGGGGAAAGGAAAAUUAGGUCGGUCCAUCUAGGAAUAUAAAUGAACCGUAAAAAACCCCACCAUGUCAUGGAAAAUAUUGUUGAUUGGUUGAGAACAAAGUUGAUAUUAGAGAUUAGAGCCGUGAGUUCAAGAGAGAGAUUGCAGGCAGACCAAUGCUGAUAUGGCAGGGGAUGUCUAGGAGGGGGUACACCAUCUCCAUUUAGG